UGCAAGUCGAGCGCUGAUUACGGGGUAGCAAUAUUCCGUAGUCGGAGCGGCGCAAGGGUGCGUAACACGUGGGUAAUCUGCCAUGAAGUUUGGAAUAACUUGCUGAAAGGCGAGCUAAUACAGGAUGUGACCGUUGGGAGGCAUCUCCUGAUAGUCAAAGUUGGGGACCGUAAGGCCUGACGCUUCAUGAUGAGCCCGCGGCCUAUCAGCUAGUUGGUGAGGUAACGGCUCACCAAGGCUAAGACGGGUAGCUGGUCUGAGAGGACGACCAGCCACACUGGAACUGAGACACGGUCCAGACACCUACGGGUGGCAGCAGUCGAGAAUUUUUCACAAUGGGCGCAAGCCUGAUGGAGCGACGCCGCGUGGGGGAUGAAUGGCUUCGGCCCGUAAACCCCUGUCAUUUGCGAUCAAACCUCGUUAUUUAAAAGAUGACGAGCUGAUAGUAGCGAAAGAGGAAGGGACGGCUAACUCUGUGCCAGCAGCCGCGGUAAUACAGAGGUCCCAAGCGUUGUUCGGAUUCACUGGGCGUAAAGGGUGCGUAGGUGGUGAGGUAAGUCGGAUGUGAAAGCUCGGAGCUCAACUCCGAAAUGGCAUUGGAAACUACCUUGCUCGAGGGUUGGAGGGGGGGACUGGAAUACUUGGUGUAGCAGUGAAAUGCGUAGAUAUCAAGUGGAACACCAGUGGCGAAGGCGAGUCCCUGGACAACUCCGGACACUGAGGCACGAAAGCUAGGGGAGCAAACAGGAUUAGAUACCCUGGUAGUCCUAGCCGUAAACGGUGCAUGUUUGCUGUAAAGGAAUCGAC
rnacentral:rRNA from 1 species